GUGAGGAACUUUCCGCAAUGGGCGAAAGCCUGACGGAGCAAUGCCGCGUGAAGGAUGAAGGCCUAUGGGUUGUAAACUUCUUUUCUCAGAAAAGAAUUAUGACGGUAUCUGAGGAAUAAGCAUCGGCUAACUCUGUGCCAGCAGCCGCGGUAAGACAGAGGAUGCAAGCGUUAUCCGGAAUGAUUGGGCGUAAAGCGUCUGUAGGUUGUUUAAAAAGUAUUCUGUCAAAGAUUAGGGCUUAACUCUAGAUAGGCAGAAUAAACUUUUAAGCUAGAGGUGGGUAGAAGCAGAGGGAAUUCCCGGUGGAACGGUGAAAUGCGUAGAAAUCGGGAGGAACACCAAAGGCGAAGGCACUCUGCUGGGCCAAUACUAACACUGAGAGACGAAAGCGAGGGGAGCAAAUGGGAUUAGAUACCCUAGUAGUCC
rnacentral:rRNA from 1 species